GGGGACCCAGUACACCCUCCGCAGCCGUUGGCCCGGGUGCUAAGCCCCUCAUUGCCCAGGGCCGGCGGGCCGGCAAGGCGGCCAGCUGUUCCAAGUGCGUGGCCCGCCAAGCCCACGCCCACCCGGAACUCCAACUGGCCCGCAAGCGCCGCGCGCAGCCCCGUUUCCCGCUCGCGCCUCUCCCUCCACACCUCCCUGCAAGCUGAGGGAGUGGGCUCCGGCCUUGGCCAGCCCAGAAAGGGGCUCCCACAGUGCAGCGGUGGGCUGAAGGGCUCCUCAAGUGCCGCCAAAGUGGGAGCCCAGGCAGAGGAGGCGCCGAGAGUGAGUGAGGGCUGUGAGGACUGCCAGCAUGCUGUCACCUCUCACUGGGAUUGCAGACGUGAGCCACCGGCACCCGACAUAUUCCUGGCCUUUCACCUGUCUCCAUGACUUGUUGCUUCUUACAUUUUUGGACACUAUGUUGUGCACGUGUGGAGAAAAACAUACAUAAAAAU
rnacentral:lncRNA from 1 species